UGGAAAUAAAUCAGCACCGUCGUUACCCAUUGUCGACAUCGUCGUCGACACCACCCACUGUCGAUACAUACGACGACACCAAAAAGAGUGCUCAUUUGGCCAAGUACAAUAACAUUUAAAAGAUUUAAAAACGUUUCAAUUUAUUGAUUUGUCAUAAAUUUUCAACUCUGAUCCAAGCCCAUUUCAACCAAUCCAUCUACAUCCCUAUUGUACCCAAAAUUUUACACUUAGAUGGGUAUUAAA
rnacentral:lncRNA from 1 species